rnacentral:rRNA from 1 species
UACGUAGGGGGCGAGCGUUGUCCGGAUUUAUUGGGCGUAAAGAGCGUGUAGGCGGCUUGGCAAGUCCGCUGUGAAAACUCGAGGCUCAACCUCGAGACGUCGGUGGAAACUGCCUGGCUAGAGUCCGGAAGAGGAGAGUGGAAUUCCUGGUGUAGCGGUGAAAUGCGCAGAUAUCAGGAAGAACACCAAUGGCGAAGGCAGCUCUCUGGGACGGUACUGACGCUGAGACGCGAAAGCGUGGGGAGCGAACAGG